GACGAACCGUGCGAACGUUGUUCGGAUUCAUUGGGCGUAAAGGGUGCGUAGGCGGCGCGGUAAGUCGGGUGUGAAAUCUCGGGGCUUAACUCCGAAACUGCAUUCGAUACUGCCGUGCUUGAGGACUGGAGAGGAGACUGGAAUUUACGGUGUAGCGGUGAAAUGCGUAGAUAUCGUAAGGAAGACCAGUGGCGAAGGCGGGUCUCUGGACAGUUCCUGACGCUGAGGCACGAAGGCCAGGGGAGCAAACGGG
rnacentral:rRNA from 1 species